AGUCUACUAUUUCUGCACUUCUUUUUGUUUGGUUGUAAUAUUUUCAUGUGGAGAAAGACCCGUAUAAACUACAACUCCAAUUUUGAAUUGGCCCCCCAAAAAGAGCUAAUAUACAGAGAUGUGUUCUUGAUCUGCACCACAUCAUUGACUGCAGUAAUGGGGAUUAUGCUUGUUCACUUGUUCCUUAUUGCAAAAGGGUAUUCAUAAUUCAUCGACCUGAGUUCAAGCAAUACCUGUCUUUUUGUUAUUGAUUUUUUUUUAUAUUGAUAGUCUGUCCUUUCAACAUCUUCUAUCGAUCAAGCUGUUUUCGUUUCCUCCGCAUGAUAAGGAAUAUCAUUCCAUCACCUCUUUAUAAGGUGCCACUGCUCAGGAACCUGGAGUAUGUUGCAUGUUACUACAUAACUGGAAGCUAUAAAACUAAGGACUAUGGAUUUUGCACGAGGACCAAACAUUACAAGGAUAUGGCUUAUGUUGUUUCCUUCCUGCCUUACUACUAGAGAGCCAUGCAGUGUGCUAGGAGAUAUUUUGAUGGACAGAUAAGCCACCUUAUCAAUCUAGGAAAGUAUGUAUCAGCCAUGCUGGCAGCGGGUGCCAAAGUGGCAUAUGAGAAAGAAGCGACCAUUAGAUAUCUCUAUCUAGUUGUGGGGGUGUCAAGUUUUGCAACUGUAUACCAAUUGUACUAGGACUUUGUAAAGGAUUGGGGUUUUCUCUAGUUCCACUCCAAAACCCCCUAGCUAUGGAAUGAAUUGAUGCUCUAACGAUGGUUAUUCGGAUGCUCCGACAAUGGUUAUGAGGAAUUGCAGAUCUAGAAAGCCUUAAUAUCUAUGUUGAGCCAAUAAUCAGACCAUGGUUAUUAGGAUGAAUGAUUAA